GGAUAUAGCUCAGUGGUAGAGUGCGUGCUUGGCAUGUCUGAGGUCCUGGGUUCAAUCCUAGUACCUCCA
rnacentral:tRNA from 1 species